rnacentral:tRNA from 1 species
GGUCAUAUAGCUCAGCGGUAGAGCACUACGUUGACAUCGUAGGGGUCACAGGUUCGAUCCCUGUUGUGACCACCA